GGGGAAUAUUGGACAAUGGGCGAAAGCCUGAUCCAGCCAUGCCGCGUGUGUGAAGAAGGUCUUCGGAUUGUAAAGCACUUUAAGUUGGGAGGAAGGGUUGUAGAUUAAUACUCUGCAAUUUUGACGUUACCGACAGAAUAAGCACCGGCUAACUUCGUGCCAGCAGCCGCGGUAAUACGAAGGGUGCAAGCGUUAAUCGGAAUUACUGGGCGUAAAGGGCGUGUAGGCGGGCCUGCAAGUCAGGUGUGAAAGCCCCGGGCUCAACCUGGGAACUGCAUCCAAAACUGGCGAGCUAGAGUACGGUAGAGGGUGGUGGAAUUUCCUGUGUAGCGGUGAAAUGCGUAGAUAUAGGAAGGAACACCAGUGGCGAAGGCGACCACCUGGACUGAUACUGACACUGAGGUGCGAAAGCGUGGGGAGCAAACA
rnacentral:rRNA from 1 species